GUUUUAAUAGUUUAAGAAAAAACAAUGAUUUUGUAAAUCAUAAUUAGGUUAUCCUUUAAAACU
rnacentral:tRNA from 1 species